UAGGGAAUCUUCGGCAAUGGACGAAAGUCUGACCGAGCAACGCCGCGUGAGUGAAGAAGGUUUUCGGAUCGUAAAACUCUGUUGUUAGAGAAGAACAAGGACGUUAGUAACUGAACGUCCCCUGACGGUAUCUAACCAGAAAGCCACGGCUAACUACGUGCCAGCAGCCGCGGUAAUACGUAGGUGGCAAGCGUUGUCCGGAUUUAUUGGGCGUAAAGCGAGCGCAGGCGGUUUCUUAAGUCUGAUGUGAAAGCCCCCGGCUCAACCGGGGAGGGUCACUGGAAACUGGGAGACUUGAGUGCAGAAGAGGAGAGUGGAAUUCCAUGUGUAGCGGUGAAAUGCGUAGAUAUAUGGAGGAACACCAGUGGCGAAGGCGGCGCUCUGGUCUGUAACUGACGCUGAGGCUCGAAAGCGUGGGGAGCAAACAGG
rnacentral:rRNA from 1 species